GGUCAAGCGAACAAGUGCAUGUGGUGGAUGCCUUGGCGAUCACAGGCGAUGAAGGACGCGGUAGCCUGCGAAAAGCUUCGGGGAGCUGGCAAACAAGCUUUGAUCCGAAGAUGUCCGAAUGGGGAAACCCGGCCCGUAUGGGUCAUCCCACACUGAAUUCAUAGGUGUGGGAAGCGAACGCGGCGAACUGAAACAUCUAAGUAGCUGCAGGAACAGAAAUCAACCGAGAUUCCCAAAGUAGUGGCGAACGAAAUGGGAAGAGCCUUGUACUCUUUAGCAGUGUUGUUAGCAGAACGGGAUGGAAAGCCCGGCCCUAGCAGGUGAUAGCCCUGUAUGCGAAAACAGCGUUGUGGAACUAGGUGUACGACAAGUAGGGCGGGACACGUGAAAUCCUGUCUGAAGAUGGGGGGACCAUCCUCCAAGGCUAAAUACUCGUGAUCGACCGAUAGUGAACCAGUACCGUGAGGGAAAGGCGAAAAGAACCCCGGGAGGGGAGUGAAAUAGAUCCUGAAACCGCAUGCAUACAAACAGUCGGAGCCCUUUCGGGGGUGACGGCGUACCUUUUGUAUAAUGGGUCAGCGACUUACAUUCAGUGGCAAGCUUAACCGAUUAGGGAAGGCGUAGCGAAAGCGAGUCCGAACAGGGCGUUGAGUCGCUGGGUGUAGACCCGAAACCAGAUGAUCUAUCCAUGGCCAGGUUGAAGGUGCGGUAACACGUACUGGAGGACCGAACCCACUAACGUUGAAAAGUUAGGGGAUGAGCUGUGGAUAGGGGUGAAAGGCUAAACAAAUCUGGAAAUAGCUGGUUCUCUCCGAAAACUAUUUAGGUAGUGCCUCGUGUCUCACCUUCGGGGGUAGAGCACUGUCAUGGUUGGGGGGUCUAUUGCUGAUUACCCCGCCAUAGCAAACUCCGAAUACCGAAGAGUGCAAUCACGGGAGACAGACAUCGGGUGCUAACGUCCGGUGUCAAGAGGGAAACAACCCAGACCGCCAGCUAAGGUCCCCAAAUAUAGCUAAGUGGGAAACGAAGUGGGAAGGCUAAAACAGUCAGGAGGUUGGCUUAGAAGCAGCCACCCUUUAAAGAAAGCGUAAUAGCUCACUGAUCGAGUCGUCCUGCGCGGAAGAUGUAACGGGGCUAAGCUAUAUACCGAAGCUGCGGACGCACGCAAGUGCGUGGUAGGAGAGCGUUCUGUAAGCCUGUGAAGGUGUCUUGUAAAGGAUGCUGGAGGUAUCAGAAGUGCGAAUGCUGACAUGAGUAGCGAUAAAGGGGGUGAAAGGCCCCCUCGCCGUAAGCCCAAGGUUUCCUACGCAACGUUCAUCGGCGUAGGGUGAGUCGGCCCCUAAGGCGAGGCAGAGAUGCGUAGCUGAUGGGAAGCAGGUUAAUAUUCCUGCACCGUCGUAUGAUGCGAUGGGGGGACGGAUCGCGGAAGGUUGUCCGGGUGUUGGAAGUCCCGGUCCCUGCAUUGGAGAAGGCGCUUAGGCAAAUCCGGGCGCGGAAUUCAAGGAUGUGGGGCGAGCGGCCUAGAGCUGCGAAGCAAUUGGAAGUGGUUCCAAGAAAAGCCUCUAAGCUUCAGUCAUACGAGACCGUACCGCAAACCGACACAGGUGGGCGAGAUGAGUAUUCUAAGGCGCUUGAGAGAACUCGGGAGAAGGAACUCGGCAAAUUGGUACCGUAACUUCGGGAUAAGGUACGCCCUGGUAGCUUGACUGGCCUGCGCCAGAAGGGUGAAGGGGUUGCAAUAAAAUGGUGGCUGCGACUGUUUAAUAAAAACACAGCACUCUGCAAACACGAAAGUGGACGUAUAGGGUGUGACGCCUGCCCGGUGCCGGAAGAUUAAAUGAUGGGGUGCAAGCUCUUGAUUGAAGUCCCGGUAAACGGCGGCCGUAACUAUAACGGUCCUAAGGUAGCGAAAUUCCUUGUCGGGUAAGUUCCGACCUGCACGAAUGGCGUAACGAUGGCCACACUGUCUCCUCCCGAGACUCAGCGAAGUUGAAGUGUUUGUGAUGAUGCAAUCUCCCCGCGGCUAGACGGAAAGACCCCAUGAACCUUUACUGUAGCUUUGCAUUGGACUUUGAACCGAUCUGUGUAGGAUAGGUGGGAGGCUUAGAAGCGUGGACGCUAGUUCACGUGGAGCCGUCCUUGAAAUACCACCCUGGUUUGUUUGAGGUUCUAACCUUGGCCCGUGAAUCCGGGUCGGGGACAGUGCAUGGUAGGCAGUUUGACUGGGGCGGUCUCCUCCCAAAGUGUAACGGAGGAGUUCGAAGGUACGCUUGGUACGGUCGGACAUCGUACCUAAAGUGCAAUGGCAAAAGCGUGCUUAACUGCGAGACCGACAAGUCGAGCAGGUGCGAAAGCAGGACAUAGUGAUCCGGUGGUUCUGAAUGGAAGGGCCAUCGCUCAACGGAUAAAAGGUACUCUGGGGAUAACAGGCUGAUACCGCCCAAGAGUUCAUAUCGACGGCGGUGUUUGGCACCUCGAUGUCGGCUCAUCUCAUCCUGGGGCUGUAGCCGGUCCCAAGGGUAUGGCUGUUCGCCAUUUAAAGAGGUACGUGAGCUGGGUUUAAAACGUCGUGAGACAGUUUGGUCCCUAUCUGCCGUGGGCGUUGGAAUCUUGACGGGGGCUGCUCCUAGUACGAGAGGACCGGAGUGGACGUACCGCUGGUGUACCUGUUGUCUCGCCAGAGGCAUCGCAGGGUAGCUAUGUACGGAAGAGAUAACCGCUGAAAGCAUCUAAGCGGGAAACUCGCCUGAAGAUGAGGAUUCCCUGGAGGCUUGACCUCCUUGAAGGGUCGUUCGAGACCAGGACGUUGAUAGGCUGGGUGUGGAAGCGCAGUAAUGCGUUAAGCUAACCAGUACUAAUUGCCCGUAAGGCUUGAUCCU
rnacentral:rRNA from 1 species